CCUACGGGAGGCAGCAGUGGGGAAUAUUGGGCAAUGGGCGCAAGCCUGACCCAGCAACGCCGCGUGAAGGAAGAAGGCUUUCGGGUUGUAAACUUCUUUUGUCAGGGACGAAGCAAGUGACGGUACCUGACGAAUAAGCCACGGCUAACUACGUGCCAGCAGCCGCGGUAAUACGUAGUGGGCAAGCGUUACCCGGAUUUAUGGGGGGUAAAGGGCGUGUAGGGGGGAAUGAAAGUCGGAUUGGAAAACUAUGGGCUCAACCCAUAGCCUGCAUUUGAAACUGUAUUUCUUGGGUGCUGGGGGGGCAACCGGAAGUCCGGGUGUAGCGGUGAAAUGCGUAGAUAUACGGAGGAACACCAGUGGCGAAGGCGGAUUGCUGGACAGUAACUGACGCUGAGGCGCGAAAGCGUGGGGAGCAAACAGGAUUAGAUACCGUGUAGUC
rnacentral:rRNA from 1 species